rnacentral:rRNA from 1 species
GAUGAACGCUGGCGGCGUGCCUAAUACAUGCAAGUCGAGCGAACAGACGAGGAGCUUGCUCCUCUGACGUUAGCGGCGGACGGGUGAGUAACACGUGGAUAACCUACCUAUAAGACUGGGAUAACUUCGGGAAACCGGAGCUAAUACCGGAUAAUAUAUUGAACCGCAUGGUUCAAUAGUGAAUGACGGUUUUGCUGUCACUUAUAGAUGGUUCCGCGCCGCAUUAGCUAGUUGGUAAGGUAACGGCUUACCAAGGCAACGAUGCUUAGCCGACCUGAGAGGGUGAUCGGCCAAACUGGAACUGAGACACGGUCCAGAGUCCUACGGGGGGCAGCAGUAGGGAAUCUUCCGCAAUGGGCGAAAGCAUGACGGAGCAAAGCCGAGUGAGUGAUGAAGGUCUUCGGAUCGUAAAACUCUGUUAUUAGGGAAGAACAAAUGUGUAAGUAACUAUGCACGUCUUGACGGUACCUAAUCAGAAAGCCACGGCUAACUACGUG